GGACGAACGCUGGCGGCGUAGCUUAACACAUGCAAGUCGAACGGAGAACUUAUUUCGGUAAGUUCGUUAGUGGCGAACGGGUGAGUAACGCGUAGGCAACCUGCCUCCAGUUGGGGACAACAUUCCGAAAGGGAUGCUAAUACCGAAUACGAUGGAUUCCCCGCAUGAGGAAUCCAUGAAAGGCGCUUUCGGGCGUCGCUGGAAGAUGGGCCUGCGUCUGAUUAGCUUGUUGGUGAGGUAACGGCCCACCAAGGCGAUGAUCAGUAGCCGGUCUGAGAGGAUGAACGGCCACAUUGGGACUGAGACACGGCCCAAACUCCUACGGGAGGCAGCAGUGGGGAAUCUUCCGCAAUGGACGAAAGUCUGACGGAGCAACGCCGCGUGAGUGAUGAAGGUCUUCGGAUUGUAAAACUCUGUUGUCGGGGACGAAUGUUGAGGUCUAGAAUAUAGGUUUCAAAUGACGGUACCUGACGAGGAAGCCACGGCUAACUACGUGCC
rnacentral:rRNA from 1 species